rnacentral:ncRNA from 2 species
UAAUAUUCUACGAUAAUAGGUUUGAAGGAUCAAGGAAGUUGAGCCUUCAAUUAAAAGGGAAACAGGUGUAAAUCCUGUACGGUCCCGCCGCUGUAAAAGAGUAGUAGUGCAAAAUAUGCCACUGUUGAUAUGGGAAGGCUUUGCACUGUGAUGAUACUUGAGUCAGAAGACCUGCCUAUUAUUAUAAAUCACA